rnacentral:rRNA from 1 species
GAUGAACGCUGGCGGCGUGCCUAAUACAUGCAAGUCGAGCGAAUGGAUUAAGAGCUUGCUCUUAUGAAGUUAGCGGCGGACGGGUGAGUAACACGUGGGUAACCUGCCCAUAAGACUGGGAUAACUCCGGGAAGCCGGGGCUAAUACCGGAUAACAUUUUGAACCGCAUGGUUCGAAAUUGGAAGGCGGCUUCGGCUGUCACUUAUGGAUGGACCCGCGUCGCAUUAGCUAGUUGGUGAGGUAACGGCUCACCAAGGCAACGAUGCGUAGCCGACCUGAGAGGGUGAUCGGCCACACUGGGACUGAGACACGGCCCAGACUCCUACGGGAGGCAGGAGUAGGGAAUCUUCCGCAAUGGACGAAAGUCUGACGGAGCAACGCCGCGUGAGUGAUGAAGGCUUUCGGGUCGUAAAGCUCUGUUAUUAGGGAAGAACAAGUGCUAGUUGAAUAAGCUGGCACCUUGACGGUACCUAACCAGAAAGCCACGGCUAACUACGUGCGAGCCGCCGCAGUAA